rnacentral:ncRNA from 2 species
GGUUGGGUGAAUUCUAUAUUCGCUUUCAAGAUGAUUGGACUUCCGGGGUGGGAAGCU